GACGAACGCUGGCGGCGCGCCUAACACAUGCCAGUCGAACGAGCGAGAGAGAGCUUGCUUUCUCAAGCGAGUGGCGAACGGGUGAGUAACGCGUGAGGAACCUGCCUCAAAGAGGGGGACAACAGUUGGAAACGACCGCUAAUACCGCAUAAGCCCACGACCCGGCAUCGGGUAGAGGGAAAAGGAGCAAUCCGCUUUGAGAUGGCCUCGCGUCCGAUUAGCUAGUUGGUGAGGUAACGGCCCACCAAGGCGACGAUCGGUAGCCGGACUGAGAGGUUGAACGGCCACAUUGGGACUGAGACACGGCCCAGACUCCUACGGGAGGCAGCAGUGGGGAAUAUUGCACAAUGGGGGAAACCCUGAUGCAGCGACGCCGCGUGGAGGAAGAAGGUCUUCGGAUUGUAAACUCCUGUUGUUGAGGAAGAUAAUGACGGUACUCAACAAGGAAGUGACGGCUAACUACGUG
rnacentral:rRNA from 1 species